rnacentral:rRNA from 1 species
GACGGAGGGGGCAAGCGUUGUCCGGACUCACUGGGCGUAAAGGGUGCGUAGGCGGUUGUGUGCGUCGGCGCUGAAAUCACGAGGCUUAACUUCGUGGCGCGUGCCGAUACGACACGACUUGAGGCUCUGAGAGGGUGGCGGAACUCCUGGUGUAGUGGUGAAAUGCGUAGAGAUCAGGAAGAACACCCGUGGCGCAAGCGGCCACCUGGCAGAGUUCUGACGCUGAGGCACGAAAGCGUGGGGAGCGAACAGG